rnacentral:rRNA from 1 species
UGCCUAGUAACGGCGAGUGAAGCGGCAACAGCUCAAAUUUGAAAUCUGGCUCUUUUAGAGUCCGAGUUGUAAUUUGCAGAGGGCGCUUUGGCUUUGGCAGCGGUCCAAGUUCCUUGGAACAGGACGUCACAGAGGGUGAGAAUCCCGUACGUGGUCGCUGGCUAUUGCCGUGUAAAGCCCCUUCGACGAGUCGAGUUGUUUGGGAAUGCAGCUCUAAAUGGGAGGUACAUUUCUUCUAAAGCUAAAUAUUGGCCAGAGACCGAUAGCGCACAAGUAGAGUGAUCGAAAGAUGAAAAGCACUUUGGAAAGAGAGUCAAACAGCACGUGAAAUUGUUGAAAGGGAAGCGCUUGCAGCCAGACUUGCUUACAGUUGCUCAUCCGGGUUUUUACCCGGUGCACUCUUCUGUAGGCAGGCCAGCAUCAGUUUGGGCGGUAGGAUAAAGGUCUCUGUCACGUACCUCCUUUCGGGGAGGCCUUAUAGGGGAGACGACAUACUACCAGCCUGGACUGAGGUCCGCGCAUCUGCUAGGAUGCUGGCGUAAUGGCUGUAAGCGGCCCGUCUUGAAACACGGACCAAGGAGUCUAACAUCUAUGCGAGUGUUUGGGUGUCAAGCCCGAGCGCGUAAUGAAAGUGAACGGAGGUGGGAACCCGCAAGGGUGCACCAUCGACCGAUCCUGAUGUCUUCGGAAGGAUUUGAGUAAGAGCAUGGCUGUUGGGACCCGAAAGAUGGUGAACUAUGCUUGAAUAGGGUGAAGCCAGAGGAAACUCUGGUGGAGGCUCGCAGCGGUUCUGACGUGCAAAUCGAUCGUCA